UACGGAGGGUGCAAGCGUUAAUCGGAAUUACUGGGCGUAAAGCGUGCGUAGGCGGUUCGUUAAGUCUGUUGUGAAAGCCCCGGGCUCAACCUGGGAAUGGCAAUGGAUACUGGCGAGCUAGAGUGUGUCAGAGGAUGGUGGAAUUCCCGGUGUAGCGGUGAAAUGCGUAGAGAUCGGGAGGAACAUCAGUGGCGAAGGCGGCCAUCUGGGACACACUGACGCUGAGGCACGAAAGCGUGGGGAGCAAACAGG
rnacentral:rRNA from 1 species